rnacentral:tRNA from 1 species
AUCUGGGUGGCUCAGUCGGUUGAGCGUCUGACUUCAGCUCAGGUCAUGAUCUCACGGUUCGUGGGUUCAAGCCCCGCAUCGGACU